rnacentral:rRNA from 1 species
GACGAACGCUGGCGGCGUGCUUAACACAUGCCAGUCGAGCGGUAAGGCCCCUUCGGGGGUACACGAGCGGCGAACGGGUGAGUAACACGUGAGCAAUCUGCCCAUCACAUCGGGAUAACUCCGGGAAACCGAAGCUAAUACCGAAUACGACCACCUCCGGCAUCGGAUGGUGGUGGAAAGUUCCGGCGGUGAUGGAUGAGCUCGCGGCCUAUCAGCUUGUUGGUGGGGUAACGGCCCACCAAGGCUUCGACGGGUAGCCGGCCUGAGAGGGUGACCGGCCACACUGGGACUGAGACACGGCCCAGACUCCUACGGGAGGCAGCAGUGGGGAAUAUUGGACAAUGGGCGUAAGCCUGAUCCAGCAACGCCGCGUGAGGGAUGACGGCCUUCGGGUUGUAAACCUCUUUCAGCAGGGACGAAGCGCAAGUGACGGUACCUGCAGAAGAAGCACCGGCCAACUACGUG